rnacentral:sRNA from 1 species
UCCGCUGUGAGUGUGACGGCGCAAAUGC